CCGCGGGAUCCCGCCGAGGCCUCCUCAAAUUUGCCAUCUCCUUAUUAAUUCUUCCGCCCCCUUCUACAUUUGCUUAACGUCACACUCAGACCAUGGAGAGACAUUGGUGGAAAGAGACAAUUCAUCACAUAUCUCCUCCUCCACCCUAAGAUGUGGUAAGCAUGCAGGAGGAGCUGCUCCAGUCACCAGCACUGUAACCCACAGACAGGAGGCCAAGACCCACCACCCACCCACCAGCCUGUGUCAGCUUCCAAUGCUAUGUCUGCUAACACGACAAGAUUUUGGGGAAUGACAGAGGCUGGUAACUAAUGGGAAUGUGUUCCAAGCAACUAAGAGAUUCCACCUUCCCAAUGAAAUGAGGAUUUUUGAGCUAAUAUAGUCUUAACAC